GCCUAAUACAUGCAAGUCGAACGGUCUUUCUAUGGAAGCUUGCUUCCACUGAGAAGAUAGUGGCGAACGGGUGAGUAACACGUGGGUAACCUGCCCAUAAGAGGGGGAUAACAUCCGGAAACGGGUGCUAAUACCGCAUAGUUUUCUUGAUCGCAUGAUUGAGAAAGGAAAGACGGCCUUUGUGCUGUCGCUUAUGGAUGGACCCGCGGCGUAUUAGUUAGUUGGUGAGGUAACGGCUCACCAAGACGAUGAUACGUAGCCGACCUGAGAGGUGAUCGGCCACAUUGGGACUGAGACACGGCCCAAACUCCUACGGGAGGCAGCAGUGGGAAUCUUCCGCAAUGGACGAAAGUCUGACGGAGCAACGCCGCGUGAGUGAAAGAAGGUUUUCGGAUCGUAAAACUCUGUUGUCAGAGAAGAACAAGUUGGAGAGUAACUGCUCCAGCCUUGACGGUAUCUGACCAGAAAGCCACGGCUAACUACGUGCCAGCCGCCGC
rnacentral:rRNA from 1 species